rnacentral:rRNA from 1 species
UGGGGAAUUUUGGACAAUGGGCGAAAGCCUGAUCCAGCAAUGCCGCGUGUGUGAAGAAGGCCUUCGGGUUGUAAAGCACUUUUGUCCGGAAAGAAAUCCUUGGCUCUAAUACAGUCGGGGGAUGACGGUACCGGAAGAAUAAGCACCGGCUAACUACGUGCCAGCAGCCGCGGUAAUACGUAGGGUGCAAGCGUUAAUCGGAAUUACUGGGCGUAAAGCGUGCGCAGGCGGUUUGCUAAGACCGAUGUGAAAUCCCCGGGCUCAACCUGGGAACUGCAUUGGUGACUGGCAGGCUAGAGUAUGGCAGAGGGGGGUAGAAUUCCACGUGUAGCAGUGAAAUGCGUAGAGAUGUGGAGGAAUACCGAUGGCGAAGGCAGCCCCCUGGGCCAAUACUGACGCUCAUGCACGAAAGCGUGGGGAGCAAACAGGAUUAGAUACCCUGGUAGUCCACGCCCUAAACGAUGUCAACUAGUUGUUGGGGAUUCAUUUCCUUAGUAACGUAGCUAGCGCGUGAAGUUGACCGCCUGGGGAGUACGGUCGCAAGAUUAAAACUCAAAUGAAUUGACGGGGUCAUAGCUGUUUCCU